rnacentral:misc_RNA from 1 species
CGAGUUGAUAGUUUCGAAUUUCGAUGUCGUUAAAAUUUCGUGAACCGCAAUCCAAUUGCCUUGGUCAGCUCAUAGCUUCCGGCAACCAUGUAUCGAUUCUCUAAAUUCUUGCCACAAUUCUGAUUCUUUGUGCUUCCAGCAGGAUCAGACCCCCAAAAUUCUUCUUCUAAUGGGUCUUCCCGAAGUCGUUGAUGUUGCCCGCAAUUAUGCCGUCAUGGUCAGAAUUCAAGGCCCGGACCCAAAAGGCCUGAAGAUGCGAAAACAUGCUUUUCACCUUUACAAUUCUGGGAAGACGACACUAUCAGCAUCUGGGAUGCUUUUGCCCAGUUCCUUUGUUAAUGGUUCGGUGUCUGAGCAGAUUCAGGGUGAAAGCAAGUUGCAGUCUAUUGGAGGUCACCUCUUGGUUUUAACUGUGGCUUCUGUUAUUGAGCCAUUUGUCGUACAACAGGACACAAGUGACAUAUCAAAGGAUAAGCCCAAGCUGAUUCCUGGUGCUCAAAUUGAUAUACUACGGGAGGGAGAAAUAAAACUGCAGAAUGAUCUCAAAGAGUCUAGCAAGGAGGGUUUGAACUGGCUACCUGCUGAACUCCUAAGAGUGGUUGACAUCCCCGUGUCAUCUGCUGCUGUCCAGUCACUCAUCGAAGGUUCUUCUAGUUCAAUUGAACAUGGAUGGGAGGUGGGUUGGUCCCUAGCUGCCUAUGGAAAUGCUCAUCAAUCAUUUAUUAACACCAAGCGCAGACAGGUUGAGCAAAUGUCCUUCCCAAGUCAAACUCCAACGGUGGAGGCGCAGUCCAGCCUUCCAAGUGUGAUAGGAACAUCGACCACAAGAAUUGCUCUUCUGAGAGUUCCUUCAAAUCCAUAUGAGGACCCACCUCCAUUAAAAGUCUCUCCCUGGAGUAGGAGAGGUGAUCUUCUUCUUGCUAUGGGUUCUCCUUUUGGCAUCUUGUCUCCCAGCCACUUUUCGAAUAGCAUAUCAG